GAUGAACGCUGGCGGCGUGCCUAAUACAUGCAAGUAGAACGCUGAAGGAAGGAGCUUGCUCUUUCCGGAUGAGUUGCGAACGGGUGAGUAACGCGUAGGUAACCUGCCUGGUAGCGGGGGAUAACUAUUGGAAACGAUAGCUAAUACCGCAUAACAGUAGAUGUUGCAUGAUAUCUACUUAAAAGGUGCAAUUGCACCACUACCAGAUGGACCUGCGUUGUAUUAGCUAGUUGGUGAGGUAACGGCUCACCAAGGCGACGAUACAUAGCCGACCUGAGAGGGGGAUCGGCCAAACUGGGACUGAGACACGGCCCAGACUCCUACGGGAGGCAGCAGUAGGGAAUCUUCGGCAAUGGACGGAAGUCUGACCGAGCAACGCCGCGUGAGUGAAGAAGGUUUUCGGAUCGUAAAGCUCUGUUGUAAGAGAAGAACGAGUGUGAGAGUGGAAAGUUCACACUGUGACGGUAUCUUACCAGAAAGGGACGGCUAACUACGUG
rnacentral:rRNA from 1 species